rnacentral:lncRNA from 1 species
ACUUUGCAUCCUCUGAUACAAGCAUACAUCAAGUUGUCUUGCCAAGUAAAGAAUGAGAACAAAAUGUACUACUUAGUUUCAUUAUCUUUUUUUGCCUUUGAUCAUAGGAUUCCAUGCACUGGAUUUUUACGGAUGAAGAAUAGGAAUGUGUUGAGAAGGGAUGGGAUGGUGAUAAAAUUAGAAACUGAAUGGUGGUUGUAUUGGUUCCUGAACCUUGUUAUUCCUCCUACCCCUAAGUUCCAUUUAAGAAGGGGUCCCAGGAGAAUUAGGUAACAAAACAAGCUCUGCACUGAGAGUCAAUAGGCAAGCUGAACUGUUCAAGUUGAAGACCCAACAGACAAAUCCCAAAAGAGAUUGCUUUACCUUUCAUCAGCAGGAUGGG